rnacentral:tRNA from 1 species
GCCGCUGUGGUGAAACUGGCAUACACGCGUGGUUCAGGUCCACGUGGGCGCAAGCCCGUGGAGGUUCGAGUCCUCUCAGCGGCA